rnacentral:rRNA from 1 species
AAAAAAGCCUCUAAGCUUCAGUUACAGAGAGACCGUACCGCAAACCGACACAGGUGGGCAGGAUGAGAAUUCUAAGGCGCUUGAGAGAACUCAGGAGAAGGAACUCGGCAAAUUAGCACCGUAACUUCGGGAUAAGGUGCGCCCUGAUAGGUUGAAGCCCCUCGCGGGUGUAGGCUGAAAGGGUUGCAGUGAAAUGGUGGCUGCGACUGUUUAAUAAAAACACAGCACUCUGCAAACACGAAAGUGGACGUAUAGGGUGUGACGCCUGCCCGGUGCCGGAAGGUUAAGUGAUGGGGUGCAAGCUCUUGAUCGAAGCCCCGGUAAACGGCGGCCGUAACUAUAACGGUCCUAAGGUAGCGAAAUUCCUUGUCGGGUAAGUUCCGACCUGCACGAAUGGCGUAACGAUGGCCACACUGUCUCCUCCUGAGACUCAGCGAAGUUGAAAUGAUUGUGAAGAUGCAAUCUCCCCGCGGUUAGACGGAAAGACCCCAUGAACCUUUACUGUAGCUUUGCAUUGGACUUUGAACCAAUCUGUGUAGGAUAGGUGGGAGGCUGUGAAACUGGGACGCUAGUUCUGGUGGAGCCAACCUUGAAAUACCACCCUGGUUUGUUUGAGGUUCUAACCAUGGCCCGUGAAUCCGGGUCUGGGACCGUGCAUGGUAGGCAGUUUGACUGGGGCGGUCUCCUCCUAAAGUGUAACGGAGGAGUACGAAGGUACGCUAGGUACGGUCGGACAUCGUGCUGAUAGUGCAAUGGCAUAAGCGUGCUUGACUGCGAGACACACACGUCGAGCAGGUACGAAAGUAGGUCAUAGUGAUCCGGUGGUUCUGUAUGGAAGGGCCAUCGCUCAACGGAUAAAAGGUACUCUGGGGAUAACAGGCUAAUACCGCCCAAGAGUUCAUAUCGACGGCGGUGUUUGGCACCUCGAUGUCGGCUCAUCACAUCCUGGGGCUGUAGUCGGUCCCAAGGGUAUGGCUGUUCGCCAUUUAAAGUGGUACGUGAGCUGGGUUUAAAACGUCGUGAGACAGUUUGGUCCCUAUCUGCCGUGGGCGCUGGAAAUUUGAAGGGGGCUGCUCCUAGUACGAGAGGACCGGAGUGGACGAACCUCUGGUGUACCGGUUAUGACGCCAGUCGUAUUGCCGGGUAGCUAAGUUCGGAAGAGAUAAACGCUGAAAGCAUCUAAGCGUGAAACUCGCCUUGAGAUAAGAUUUCCCUGGGGACUUGAUCCCCCUGAAGGGUCGUGGUAGACCACCACGUUGAUAGGCUGGGUGUGGAAGCGCAGCAAUGCGUUAAGCUAACCAGUACUAAUUGCCCGUGAGGCUUGAUC